AUACACAGUUCUCAUGAAAAUUUAGUUAUGGACAAAUUCAAACUGCUUUUGCCCAAAACACUUCUAAUUGUAAUGAAUGUAAAAGACUUUUAAUUAAAAAGAAAAAAUUCAAGACAACGAAGAGGCAAAUCAGACAAAAAAAUAAUUGAUGCAUGUCCAUGAACAAUCUAUUGAAAUCUAUAUAUAUAUAUAUAUAUAUAUAUAAAAGAGGAUUAAGGAUCUGCUGAUAUGGCGUCCUCCAAUGAUGAGCAUUGGUAUUUAUCUAUUUUGAACUUUUUUUUACUUGAAUUUAACGUUUAAAAAAUUAUCAAAAGAAAAAUAAAUCAGUUACCUGCGCAGAUUCAACAGACGUUUAUUAGAUUUUAGUAACUGUUGAAAAAAGAUGAGAAGAAACGGUGGAUUUUCAUGAAAAACGCCUUUGUUUCAACUCUUAAAAAGAGGGAAAAGGGAAAAAGAGGAGAAGAACCGGUUUUAUCAAUUGUUCUCUACCAUCAAAUCUUCAUUCUCUCGCCAAUAACGAUAAGCAAAGCUAAUAUUGCACAUUUGUGCUUUCUGAUUUCAACUGAUCUCUUAGAUUUAUAAAAUUAUGUUGUCGAAAUACUUUAUCGGGUUGAAUUUUUUGACUUUAUAAAAUUAUUUUGGUGAAUCACUUUACUUAUUUGUGAUUAUCAGAUUUAAUAAUUUUCUAUUUCUGCGCACGCCUGUCUGCAUUUUUUUUCAAGGAUUUAGAGAAACUUUAGUGAAGCAGAAAAAGGGGUUUGUACUCGUAUUAAAGUAGGAAGGCAUCUUGUAUUGUAUUUUGUACUGUUUGAUGAUUGUUGUUUCAUUUUUAGUUUUUGAAAGCAAGUCUAAUGGUGUAUGGGAUGUUUUGAGGGUUCCUCUUCACGUAUUGUGGCGCCACUUUGGUAAUUGCUGAUUGAUCAUCAUACGAUCAAGAAAACAAAAAUUAUCGAUGUCUUUUGUGUCUUUUUUCCUGUUAGUUAUGCACUUCUUAGCUUUUUAUGGUUUUGACAAGCUUUAGUGAAUGUACCCCGAUAAACUCAAAUAGUUUUAGUACUUUCAAUUUUUUUUCCGCUGUUAUUAUUCGCUUACAUGUUUCAUGCAUGUAUUGGAUGUGAAUUUAUUUUCUGUAUUUCUCUUAAAGCAUUGUGGAUGUUUUUUAAUAAUUAGCUUAUGACUUUUGUUAUGUUAAAUUAUGUGAACUUUUCGUGCUUUGUCUUAGUAUUUUCUGUUAAGGUUCUUAAAUGCUUCAAUUGGAUCAGUUUCUGUCAUCCUCCCAACUUACAGAAGUAUAUUCUUAAUGAGUUCAAAUUAUUUGCUGUAUGGUGAUUGAUCUGUGGUUUUGUCCAGGUAUAUAAUACUCCCUCUCUUAACUUUUAUUUGUCCAGAAUAAACUUUUCACACCCCUUAAGAAAUAACAAAUGAUAUGCAUAUUUUAUCAUUAUAUCCAUAUUAAUUGGUGUGUAGUUUUCAUAGACUUGAAAAUGAUUUGGAAUGAGUAAUUAAUGCUAAAGGUAAAACAAUAAAAAGAAAUUAUUUUUCUCUUGAUAUGCGUAACUGAACAUCCUUUUAAUAUAGUGGAAAAGUGGAAGUGAAUGAAUGGAGGACUUUUGUAAAUUUUGUGUUUCUUCAUAUUUGGCAUUGGUUCCUGAUGUGUGCAUGUUGCAUUUGCAUUUCUUUGAUGUACUUGUGGGUGUUUGCUUCUUUAUAAUUAGUUGUGUGAUUUUGAAUAUUUGUGAUUCUUCAUAUGUUAUCAUGUGUCCUUUUGCCUUGUGUUCGUACUUUGAUUCAAAGGGAUCUUUUUAACUAUUCAGUUUGGUCAGUUGCUUUUGAAGCUUUGAAUUAGGACAAAUAUACUGUUAUUCUCUGUAGUUUCAGCGACAUUGAUUCUCUCUCUGUUUGUUGAUUUUUGAAUACUUCUCUACUUAUAUACCUGUAGUUAUAUCCCCUUGUAUAUGUACCCACUCCCAAUUUUCCACUUUUUCUUUGGUAAUACAAAGAGGAUGGAAUGUCAUUACAUCUGAAAAGUAGGAGUGAGCCUUUAGAAUCUUAAAGAAAGUCAAAACAUGAUAGUAAGCAAAGAAGGAGCUCAAAGCUGAUGACAUUAUACUUUUGUGAUUGACAUGCUAGGUCAUGUUGGGCAGCUUGCCAUUAAGGCCAAUUCUGUAGUAUGGAGUGCAUUCUUGGCUGCUUCCCGUCUCCACGGUAAUGCUGAUCUUGCUGAGGUUGCUGCCAAACAGGUAUUUGAGAUAAGAGAUGCAAUGUAGCUACAAAAUGUAAGGAAGACACCUGGUUCCAGCUGGAUCGAACUUCAUAAUGGUGUACACAUCUUUAUUAUUGUUGAUAAGUUGCAUCCUGAAACCAAUCUUAUUUAUGCUGGAUCAAAUUCAUUGACUGCUCGAUUGCGUGAGCAUGGUUAUACACCAGAAUCUGAUGCUUGGAAAGCAGUCCAUGAUUUUCAGAUUUAUUGUCUGUUACCUAGAUAAAAUUUUUUGAAGCACCGAUUGAAUUAAGGUUAUAAUAAUAUCUCUUUGGAAAACCUAGAAAGUGCGUGAGUUCGUUUUGCCAUUCAUGAAAACAAAGUCUUGGUUUUGUGAAAACAGCUCAAGUUAUGUGUGUACUUUGCCGAUAAACUUCCAUUGAAAAUAAAGAGUGUUUUCUUCAUUUUUGUGGCAUAAGUUACAAUAUAGAUAUUUUGUUCAAUAUAUGAGUCCCAUGUGCAUGUUAUCUUUCAAAUGUAUUGUCUUAGAAGCGACAUAGGCUCAAGAAGGUGGUAUUAAACUGUUAGGAAAGGUUGUAAUUUAUUUUAUUAACACUGGAGUUGAUUAUACGCACCCUGGCUUCAGUGAUAAUUCACCUGAGCAAACAUAUCCUGUUCCUGAGUACUUCUCUGACAUUUGUGAGGUCACUCUACAUUUUCCAUCUGAAUCUUGCAACAGAAAACUUGUUGGUGCCCGUCAUUUUGCAGCAUCAGCUAUAACCUGGGAGAUAUUUAAUGCAACUAAGGACUAUGCUUCUCGUUUUGAUGAUGAUGGUCAUGGUAUGUAAGUGUUCCCUGUCAUAUGGGCAAUUAAUAUGCUUCUCCUUUAGGAUUAAAUUUUGAUUCUUUUGCUUAAACCUGUAAAAUAAUCUCUUAGCCAAAGUUAAAACAGUGGGAACCCUAAAAUUCUGUUGUUCAACUUCAGUAACUACCUUCACGUUUAAAUAGAUACACGUCAAUGAUAUGAAACUU